rfam:Ovis aries breed Texel chromosome 3, whole genome shotgun sequence.
UCCCUGGUGGCUUAUCUGGUAAAGAACCUGCCUGCAAUGUGGGAAACCUGGGUUCGAUCCCUAGGUUGGGAA